rnacentral:rRNA from 1 species
UGAGGAAUAUUGCGCAAUGGGCGAAAGCCUGACGCAGCGACGCCGCGUGAACGAUGAAGUCUUUCGGGAUGUAAAGUUCUGUCAGCAGGGAAGAAAAUGACGGUACCUGCAGAGGAAGGCCCGGCUAAAUAUGUGCCAGCAGCCGCGGUAAUACAUAUGGGUCGAGCGUUGUCCGGAUUUAUUGGGCGUAAAGAGCACGUAGGCGGCUUCUUAAGUCAGAAUUUAAAGGCUGAGGCUUAACCUCAGUAUGAUUUUGAAACUGGGUUGCUAGAGAUUGAGAGAGGAAAGCGGAAUUAGCAGUGUAGCGGUGAAAUGCGUAGAUAUUGCUAAGAACACCCGUGGCGAAGGCGGCUUUCUGGCUCAAUUCUGACGCUGAGGUGCGAAAGCGUGGGGAGCAAACAGG